rnacentral:rRNA from 1 species
CCUACGGGAGGCAGCAGUGGGGAAUAUUGGGCAAUGGACGCAAGUCUGACCCAGCAACGCCGCGUGAAGGAAGAAGGAUUUCGGGUUGUAAACUUCUUUUAAGGGGGAAGCGCAGAAGACGGUACCCCUUGAAUAAGCAACGGAUAACUACGUGCCAGCAGCCGGGGUAAUACGUGGGUGGCAAGCGUUGUCCGGAGUUAAUGGGUGUAAAGGGCGUGCAGCCGGAGAGACAAGUCAGAUGUGAAAUACACGGGCUCAACCCGUGGACGGCAUUUGAAACUGUUUCCCUUGAGUGUCGGAGAGGUAAUCGGAAUUCCUUGUGUAGCGGUGAAAUGCGUAGAUAUAAGGAAGAACACCCGUGGCGAAGGCGGCUUACUGGACAAUAACUGACGGUGAGGCGCGAAAGCGUGGGGAGCGAACAGGAUUAGAUACCCGGGUAGUC